AAGUGUAUCACGGUAACAAAUGUCAGGUGAGCAAACAUUUGUAAUCAUGUAUCGUGUUUAAAAAUAUGUAAUUUUUUAAGUGCGUACGGAUUAGCCCAGUUAUGUAGACCUAAUGAAGCAGAUUGUAUCAAAUUAUACAAUGCAGACGUGGCAAUUAGUUAUUCAACACUUAUUAAACAAAGUUAUGUUAUUACAAUAUUGUUGUAGAUGUAUCAUGUUGCUUGACGUUUACUUUAGGAGUUCAGGGGUACGAGUUUACCUCGGUGGACGAAAUACCGAUUGGAGAUGAGUGCAGGUAUUGCCGCACAACUACGAGUGGUUCACUGAAACAUUUGAAACAGCGGCAUAUUAGAUAUGCUAUUUAUUUCAAAGAAGAUGGAAAAGAGAAAUUUACAAUACCGUGUCUGUGUAAGGAAGGGAAAGAUGGAAAUCGAAGUCACUGGCACUGUCCAAAAUGUGGAAAACUGAUUGCCAGACAACCUAACUUUAAAGUCCACCUGGAAAAGCAUGGGUGUGUUGUUGGUGAAAAAGGUGCUAAUCAAGGUAUAUAUAUGCUUUACCUUUUUGUCUUUUAAAUUAUUGUUUAACGUACCCAAACAAAUU